UCAUUUUACCCAAAAAUUUUGAAACCUGCUAAAAAUACAAUAUAUGAAUGAAAAAUAUGCAUUUCAUAUAAAAAAAUAAAUCUAGGUGUCUAAAUCAUCUUUUUAAAGUGAAUUUAUAACUAAUAGAACUAAAUAAAAAUAUUGAAUAAAAUAUUCUAUUUUCAUAUAAAACAAUAUUUAUAAAAUUCUACGUAAAAAAUUAUUGUAGCGUAGUAACAAAAUAAAUUCAUAUACAUAAUAACACACAGCGCAAGGGUAUACAAAAAUAUUUUACAAUGCCAUGUGAGCCCCAAAAUAACAAAAAUAAAUAAGACUGUAGACCUACGAUUUCUAAGGGUGCAAAUCCAAAAGCAAACCCUUGACAAAAUCGACUGUCUACAGACUGCUCUGAACCUGAAAUGGGUGAAAAGAAGGGGGUGAGUUUUUAUAAACCCAGUGAGUAAGGAAAGUUCAUUUAUAACAUCUAAAACUGAGUAAAUUGAGACAAUUAAAACAUCUCUCCAUAAGAUGAUUCAUAACAUUAAAACUCAUUUCAACCAUAUAAAACAAUUACAUUUCAUCAAAAAUAAUCAGUAAGGCUUAUGACUCUCUUAAAACUUGGCUCGUGACAAAACUCGUACUCGAUGACACCUUGCGCCGGGCAUCCAACCGAGUCCUCCAAGGUUGUUAAAUUAACAUAUACACAUAAAAAAUGUUUUUACGUUUAAAAACGUAGUCAUUCUUUGGCGUUGGCUGAGUUUCACCCUCACGUGGUGGUUCCAUGUGAAGUGAACUCUAAACUACCUUAGGAGAUGCCCUCGGUGCCUCUCCUACUAAGGUAAAAUAUAACGGGAUUUACCAUGCCCCUUUAAUAGGCUAGUCCACGAAAACCCGCCCACUGCAGUAAGCUAAUCACUUACCCCACCAAAUCAAUAAAAAUUUCAGCAGCAUGACAUGGCUAAUAUGAUAUUACCCAGCCUGUCAAGGUAAAACAAAACAAUUUAUAUAUUCCACACAAACACAAAUCCAGCCAUUCAUGCCAUCACAUUGUCAUAAGCCAUCAAUUCAAACCAUAUAUCAAACACGAGUAUAUAGUCUCCACUUACUCAAUUUCCACAAUCAGUAUUCGAUUUCAAAAUAAGUUAUAAAUCUCAUUUCGUUUAACCAACACUUCAAUUUUAAAACAUAAUAAUUUACAAUUUAAACUCAUUAUUCUUUAAAACAUAAAAACAAGUAGAAACAACUUUAGAUAGUUAAGAUGAAAGUCUGUUACUCACUAUAACUGGAGUACUCUAACUCAUAGCCCUCGGGUACGAUAUCUUUACUCUUACUAGAGGGCUCACCACCUAUACAUAAUGCACAACAAGUAAUUCGAUACACUUGUGUCAAACUGUUAUAAGACUAUUUUAGGCUCUUUAUGAAUGUAUGAAAUUGAAUGAGAAGUGUUCGAAUAAUCACUUAAAGAUGGUGUUCUACAUAGGUUCAAUUGUUGUUGGACUGAAAUGGUAUUCAACCUAACUCGCACUAUACACUAUUUAAUUAGCCAAAACAUCCAAUUCAACUCCAAAUAGAUUCAUUGCACUUUCGGUACUCCAAUAAGUCCAUAUACCUCAUUAGAAAUCAAUUCUAAGUCCAUUUACUAUAAUUUUCUCAUUAUCGUUCAAGUCGUUUACUAAAGGAACUAUAUUUUUCGAUAACCGUUUUUGAUAUCCGACAUCACGAAUCAUCAAAUACGAGCUAGUUAACAUGAAAUAUGACAAAAUUCAUCUUCAAAAUAUUCCCUAUAAAAUUCGGCCAAUAGGGUUUGAUGAAGAACAUAUUAUUUUCUUACUUGUUUUUCACACCGAAUAUCACAAACAACUAAAAAUGCCUAGAUAACAUGAGAUCUAGCAAAACCUAUCCUCAAAACCUCCCCCCCCCCCCUUGAUUCAGCCAGCAUGCUUCUAUCAUGAAAACUUGAGUUUCAACCAUGGAAAAUGAAAAAGAAAGCAUGGGUAAGGUAGAUCUUAAGCUAAAUCGCGAAAUCUUACCUUCGAUCCCUUCGUUUUUUGGAAAUCCAAUAAAUUUCUCUUGAAUUUUUCCUCCUUAGAGUUUUUCUAUUCUUUCCCUCUUUGUUCUUUGGCUUGGAUAACAAUGAGAUAGUGAAUGGGAGAGUUUUUGUCACGACCCGGAACUCCCAUCGAGCCCGUGACAACCACCGCGAUGUCCCGAUAGACAUUCAUUACCCGGAAUGCCAAUCGAAACCUCGCAAGGCUUAACAUCAGUUUUCUCGCUUCCCCUGCGAGUAUUAGUUACUAAAAUCAUGUUUUAAAGUGAUAUGAACCAAUUUUAAUUCAAAAACAGUCAAAGAGAAGUUUCAACUAUACAGGGGUAUUUUGGUCAUUUUUUUAAAAAAUUUUGAAACCAGCUAAAAUAUAGUAUAUGAGAGAAAUUUACACAUUUCAUAACCGAAAAUAAGUUUAGAUAUCUAAAACAUUCAUUUAAAGUGAAAUUAUAGCUAAUGGAAUAAAAUAAAAAUAAUGAAUAAAAUACUUCAAUUUUUCAUAAAACAAUUUUUAUAGAACGCUACGCAAAUAAUUUUUACAGCGUAAAAGUAAAAUAAAUUCUUACAUACAGUAGCACACGCAGCUAGGUAUUCAAAACAUUUAACAAUGACAUGUGGGCCCCCAAAUGACUAAAAGUAAUGAAGGUUGUGAACCUACAGUUUUUGAGGAUGCAAGUCCAACUGUAGCCCUCAACGAAAUGAGCUAUCUACCGACUAUCUUGAGCCUGAAAUGGGUAAAAAGAAGGGUGAUGAGAUUAUAUAAUCUCAGUGAGUAAACAAAUAUCAUCUAAAAUAUCUAAAACUGAGUAAAUGGAGACAGAUAAAAUAGAUUAGCAUAAAAAUGAUUCAUAGCAUUUCGAACUUAUUUUAAUAAGAUAAAAUAGAUUCAUUUCACCCAAAUAAACAACGAGGCUUAUGAUUUCCUCAAAAGCUUGGCUCGUGCCAAAAUCAUUCUCAUACUCAGUUGUCAGGGAUACCUUGGCCUAGGGCUAUCCCAACCGAGUCCACCAAGGCUGUUAAAAAGUCAUGUACGCAUAAAUCAUAUUUUUAUUUUGAAAACAUAGUCGUUCCUUGGCAUUGGCUGAGUUCACCCUCACAUGGUGGUUUGACGUGAAGUGAACUCUAAAAUUUUUCCUCAAGAGUUACCCUACGUGCCUCCUCAACUGAGGUAAGAAUAUACCCGAAUUUCAUGGCCCUCAAAAAGGCUGGUUCACAGAACCCGCCACUGUAGUGACCAAUCUAUAACCCACCAAUUAAAUAAAAAUUCAAUAGCAUGACAUGGCAAUUUUAUCAUUAUCCAGCCUAUCAAGGCAAACAACAGUUUAUACAUUUUCAACACAAAUACCCAUCCAGCCAUUCAUGCCCACAUUAUCAUAAGCCAUUCAAUUCAAAACAUAAUUUACAUUACAGCAAGUAGUCUCCAAUUACUCCAUUUUCAAGUCAUCAUUAAAUUUCAAAACAAUUUAUAAAAUCAUUUCAUUUAAAAACAUUUUUCAUAAAAUUACAAAAUCGGAUAAAAACAUACUUUAGAUAAUUAAGACGAUAAUAAGGUUACUCACUGUAAUAGAAAUCAAAUUCGGGAUACUCUGAUUCUUGAUCCUCGGAUACUACCUCUUUACUCUUGCCAGAAUGCUCACCACCUAGACAUAAUGCACAAUAAGCAAUUUGCUACAUUUUUGCUAAACCGUUGUAAAACCAAUUCAGGCUCUAUACUAAUGCAUGAAAUGGGAUGUGAAAUACUCGAGUAACUAUCUAAAUACGGUGUUCAAUAUAAAUUCAAUUAUGUACCUAAAUAAAAUGGUAUUGGCCUAAUUCAAUCUAUCACCCGAUUAAUUAGCCAAUACGUCUAAUUCAACUACAAACAAUUCCAUUUCUCUCCCAAUACUCCAAAUCAUUAAACACAAUUUAAAUAACUUGAAAUGUGGCAAAAUCAUCCUCACAUUUUCUCUUGAAAAAUUCGGCCAUGGUGAGUGCACUAACAAUAUAAUUUUUCAUGCUUGAUUCUCACACCAUAAAUCAUUCAUUCCUAAUCAAAUCACUUGAAAUUCAAUCAAAUUCAUCAUCAAUAUUCCACAUGGAAUAUUCGGCCAAUGAAGGUGAUGUAAGAACAUGAAUUUUUCUUGCUUGCUUUUCAUACUACACAUCACCAAACAACUAAAAACACUAGAAUAACAUGUUUUCUAACUAAAUUCAUCAUCAAAUUCUCUCUCCUAAGGUUUGAUCAGCACAUUAUCCUUCAUGAUAUCUUGUGAUUCAACCAUGAAAAAUGUAAAAUAAUGCAUCGGAAAGGUAGAUCACAAGAUAGAAUUAAGAAAUUUUACCUUUAAUGGCUUGAUUCCUUGAAAAUCAACAAUUCCCCUUUGAAUUUUUCUCUCUAGAGUUUUUGUUCUUCCUUUUUUUCUCUUUUUCUCUCUUUGGUCGACCAAGAUAAAUG
rnacentral:lncRNA from 1 species